CUGGGGACCACCCUUUCACACAUUGUUCUAUACAAAUAUAUACAUAAUUUAGCAAAAAUGAAAUCAUAUUUACAGACUGUUUUUAUUGUGCCUAAGUUCAACAGCAUCAAAAGCAUUUUUAGGUACUUCAGGCGGCUGUAAACUAAAAAUAAUCAUUUUUGUCAGAUACUGUAUCAUCUUUAUACACAUAUAUUUCAACCUCAUGAAUGUUCAUUACGUUUUUAAAUGUUUUGUCCAUGCUGGCGAACCUUAGAUGGACUCUGCUUUAAAUAAGUGCUUCUCACAGUGAAAUGCACAAUAUCUUAAUAUUAAUCAUUAUCAAGGUAUAUCUCAUUAAUAAUGUACAUUUCACAGUGCCAAGCGAGAAUGACCUCAUUACUCUAAAGGAUUCCUGGAAGUCUGAGUCACAAGCAUAAGUGACAAGAGCUACAGGGUUGGGCUGUGGUGGUUGUGGAGACUUCCUGGCUGAAACAGGGACUGGACUACAAAGACAUGUUAGGGCAGACAGCUUAGGACUUACAUGGUGACACAAUGAUGCCAUAAAGGAUCCAGCCUCUUUCCAUUCUGCCAUCCUCGCUCUGCCAUCCUCGGCAUGUAGACCUUUGUUCUCCUGUUUAUUGCUUAUGACUGAACUUCGGCUGCUGUACCUCUGGCAUCACCUUCCUCCAGGAAGAAAGACAGGUGGAGGGCAAGGAUGAGCUCUGGUCUGCAGAACAUGUCCAUCUAACAGCUUUCCUGGAAGCCCCAGUAGCAACUUCAACUGGGUUUCAACUUCAUUUCACUGGCUAGAACUAUGUCAAAUGGCGCUCCUGGAUUGGUACCCCACGGUCUGUGCGCCAAAGCUCCUGGCAGCGUGCUUUGCAGACAGUCGGCACAAGAAACUGUGAGAAGUUUGCUUCAGCAUUAGGAAGGACACUAACUUGUGCAGAAACAACUCCAAGGAUGGAGGAACACUUUGCAAAUCUUCAGGGCUUAAAGGGGACGCAGACCUUCCGCACAACAACAACAAAACCAGCGCGCUCGCGGCCGGCGCCUCGGCUCUGGUCCCCGCC
rnacentral:lncRNA from 1 species